rnacentral:rRNA from 1 species
UACGGGGGAUGCAAGCGUUAUCCGGAAUCAUUGGGCGUAAAGCGCCUGUAGGUUGUUUAAUAAGUCUGUUGUUAAAGACUAGGGCUUAACCCUAGGAAAGCAAUGGAAACUAUUAGACUUGAGUACGGCAGGGGUAGAGGGAAUUUCUAGUGUAGCGGUGAAAUGCGUAGAUAUUAGAAAGAACACCGGUGGCGAAAGCGCUCUACUGGACCGUUACUGACACUCAGAGGCGAAAGCUAGGGUAGCAAAAGGGAUUAGAUACCCCUGUAGUCCUAGCCGUAAACGAUGGAUACUACAUGUUGUAUAUUAUGUACAGUAUGGUAGCUAACGCGUUAAGUAUCCCGCCUGGGGAGUACGCUCGCAAGGGUG